AACUGAUACUACCUGCGGGAACCUGCGGAGGGAUCAUUAUAGAGUUCGUGCCCCUUGGGCAGACCUCUCACCCAAUGUCAUCUCCACGACCGUUGCUUUGGCGGGUCGCCGGCCAGCCCGGCCGCCAGUCCGCUGGCGUGUGCCCGCCAGAGGCCCCUAGACUCUCGAUGUUAGUGUCGUCUGAGUGUCAUACAAUCGUUAAAACUUUCAACAACGGAUCUCUAGAUCGGAAGAGCACAC
rnacentral:misc_RNA from 1 species